GAUGUGACGAUUAGGGAAGAUGUUUUUAAUUCACAUAACUAUUCUUUAGAGAAAAUUGAUCCUGAAACACCUUAUUGCCUUAUCGUAGAAUGACUGCAUUACUCAGAAUUCUUUACCUCUACCGGAAUUUAGUGAAGGGAAGGCACAACGUACAUUAGGAAAAUACAGGACACACUCCAGUCCUUAAACCUUCCACAAUCUUCUAGCUCUUUAAGGUCGAGUGUGAUCCUCCCCAGAACUGCAUCUUCCAGGAAGCUCAUGAGAAAGGAAGGAUCCCAGGUCCCAUCUCUGAUCUGAGUCGGCAUCUGCGUUUUAACAGAAUCCUGAAGCAGUGGUCUAACUCCUUUGGUGGUGUUAUUGUUUGCAUGUAUACCUCCAAAAUUCACAUAUUGAAAUACUAACCCCCAAGGUGAUAGUAUUAGGAGGUGGGGCCUUUGGGAGGUAAUUAAGUCAUGAGGGUGAAGCCCUCAUGAAUGGGAUUAGUACUCUUAGAAAAGGGACCCCAGAGAGGUCUCUUUCCACCAUGUAAGGAUAAAAGUACACGGAGAAGAUGGCAAUCUGCAAACUGGAAAAGGGCCCUCCUCAGAACCUGACCAUCUUGGCACCUUGAUCUCAGACUUCCAUCUUCCAGAACUGUGAGAAAUAAAUUUCUUUUAUAAACACUCAGUCAAUGCUACUUUAUUAUAGCAGCCUGAAUGGAUUAAGACAGGUGGUCUGGUUUAAAGUGAUGUGGUGGCAUCAGAAGUUUAAGGAGAGACUGGAUUUACAGAACCAGAAUCUGGGAUGCUGUUUACAGAGCAAGUUAUUUCCUGCAUUUGGACACUGUCAGCAGGUCGAUUCAGGAGACAGGUGAAAACUUUAUCACCGGGCAGCCUGGAUGAACACCACAACUUUGAUAUCUUUCACUUAAAGGAAAGAUAAGGGCAUCCACUAUUUCUACACCUGGCUGGCAGAGUGAGAGCUCACCAAAGCACUUACAAAUUCAUGGACUAUUAUGAAGACAAGUUAAGAGAUUGUGUCCUCCAAACUCAUCAUUUUUCAGACAAAUAAUAAUUGCACAUAUUCAUUGGGUACAUAGUGAUGUAUGCCAAGAAGUGAAUUUCAAAAUUCUUAAGAAGAAGAAUAGCAAUGAAAAAGACAAGGAAUUUUGAGCUGAUUCAAAUAACAGAGGAGAAGAAAAUAACCUGUGAGUGCAAUCUGAUGAAGCAUUGCCGCAUCCUGCAUUCAACAAAUAAAAAUAAUCUUGUCGUACCUUUGUAUCUUCAGAAAAACUAGCAAGCAACUUCAAAA
rnacentral:lncRNA from 1 species